rnacentral:tRNA from 3 species
AGUUAGUUAAUUUAAUAAAAAUAUCAAUUUGUGACAUUGAAAAUAAUGAAUAUCAUUACUAACUC